rnacentral:lncRNA from 1 species
GAAGGGGAUACAGAACUUAUUAGAUUUUUGCUUGUUAUCUAACCACUCUUUAGCACCAUUCUUAGAUUUAUUAACCAUAGGGUAUACUAGAGAUGGAUCAUCCUGCCAGUUAUCCACACUUGCUGAGAUUAUUUGAAGGAACUGAAGCUGACUUCCAACCUAAUUGAGCUUAACUUGCUUGUCUUGGGGUUUGGUAUACACUGGAUAGGAAUCCUCCUUCAGGUCUAAGCGGUACAAGUUUGUAAAUUUUUGGUUUCCUUCUCUUCUUCCUUUUGCAUCCCAAAGAAUGAAAAAGAAAAAGAAAAAAAGAUUGAGAUGAUUUUCUGAGAGGCAGAGGGGUAGGUACAUUACCUAUGACCCCACUAUUCUAAUUCAAAGG